rnacentral:rRNA from 1 species
GCUCAGCCAUGCCGCGUGAGUGAUGAAGGCCCUAGGGUUGUAAAGCUCUUUCGGCUGGGAAGAUAAUGACGGUACCAGCAGAAGAAGCCCCGGCUAACUCCGUGCCAGCAGCCGCGGUAAUACGGAGGGGGCUAGCGUUGUUCGGAAUUACUGGGCGUAAAGCGCACGUAGGCGGACCGGAAAGUUGGGGGUGAAAUCCCGGGGCUCAACCCCGGAACUGCCUUCAAAACUAUCGGUCUGGAGUUCGAGAGAGGUGAGUGGAAUUCCGAGUGUAGAGGUGAAAUUCGUAGAUAUUCGGAGGAACACCAGUGGCGAAAGCGGCUCACUGGCUCGAUACUGACGCUGAGGUGCGAAAGCGUGGGGAGCAAACAAGAUUAGAUACCCUGGUAAUCCACGCCGAAAACAAUGAAUGCCAGUCGUCGGGCAGCAUGCUGUUCGGUGACACACCUAACGGAUUAAGCAUUCCGCCUGGGGAGUACGGUCGCAAGAUUAAAACUCAAAGGAAUUGACGGGGGCCCGCACAAGCGGU